rnacentral:lncRNA from 1 species
UUUUUUUUAGAAACCGGGUGACAUUAGAUUUAUUGAUAUAAAAGUUUACAUGCAUUUCUUACAAAGAUAGCCCUGAUAAAAGCAAAAUUACAUCCAAGUCCUUGUAAGAUUUUCCCGGUCAUCUUCAACGCCGGCCACCGGAGUCGCCACUCGAUGCGCCGUCUCAUGAAGAUAGGAGCGCCCAAGCUGCAACUUGAAGCCGAUUCUUAGCUCGACGGAGGAACUUCUAAAGAAGCGACAUACACUUUAAAUGCUACAUCAGUCAGCACACGGAAGAAGCCGAUGCACACUUGAAUCAUUGAACGCUCGAGCAAUCCGUCGCCGAGAGAAAGGAGAUCCAGCGCCUCAAAACAUGUUGAUGUUGGCGACCUCCAAACAACCAACGACGAAAUGACAUCAAAAGAAAGACUCUAACCCGAUUUCUCAAGGUAGGAGGAAACAUACCUCACAGCUCCAUCCCCAAAAACAUGGCACCACCGUCGCGGUUGCCAGAGCUGGAGGAACAAAAGAACCAGUCGCUUGAACUCUAGGCCACCGGGAUAAGCUCGCCUUUCUCGGUUGCCGAACGUUC